CAUUCAUCUUAACCCUAAAUACUAUUUUCAAACAUUUAAUACCAUAUAUACAUAAAUUUUCCAUAUACUAUAAUAUAAAUUUUAAACUUUCAAUAAUUUUACAAUAAUUAUAAAUACAAAAACGACAAUUUUAUAUUGUUUUUAGUUUCAGCCAUUGAUUGAUUCAAAAUUAAAGGCCCAAAAUCAAUCUUCUAUCUAUCCUCACCCUUUAUUUCUAUUGGUUUCGCAUGGAUCACCAUUUGCACUCUUGGAUGAUAAUGAUCCAACGACUGAGAUUAAUUGUUCAUUUAUUAUUUUUCAAUUAUUUUCCAGAGAUUUGAGCAGAUCUCGUGUUUGAGAGAGAGAGAGAGAGAGAGAGAGAGAGAGAGAGAGAGAGAGAAAAGUAAGCGAUGCAUAUGCAUAUCGACUCCUUCUCGAAAGUAAAGAUCUCCUCUUCUCUAUGAUGAUUAUGGUCGUCUCCUUCUCGAAAGUUUCCUUCUUUCUCUCAUCACUGAAACUGAACCAGAGCGUGAGGCUCACGCUGAGGCUUGAGCAUCGUCUGUUCGUCGUCCGCUGCGAAGCUUCUUCCAACGGAAGGGAAAAAGCCGGAUAUGAAGUUGUGCUGGUGUAGAUGAGCCGAGCAAGAAGAAGAAAAAGAGAAAGAGGGAGAAGACAGAGACGUAAGAGGGAAGACGAGAAGAUGGAAGAGGAAGGCGACGACAGAGUGGCGUAGAUUAGGUUUAGUAUUGGUUGGUUUAUUAGGUUUGCUUUAGACAUGGUUAGUUCAAUAAACCGGGUUUGUGUAUAAACCAAUGUUAGGAAAUCAACUGAUUAUUAAUUGUAAACCAAUUAUUUGUAUACUGAUCUUAAUUAAUAAAUAAAAUUUAAUAUUUAAUUAUGAA